GUGAACGCUGGCGGUAGGCCUAACACAUGCAAGUCGAACGGCAGCACAGUAAGAGCUUGCUCUUACGGGUGGCGAGUGGCGGACGGGUGAGGAAUACAUCGGAAUCUACUUUUUCGUGGGGGAUAACGUAGGGAAACUUACGCUAAUACCGCAUACGACCUACGGGUGAAAGCAGGGGAUCUUCGGACCUUGCGCGAUUGAAUGAGCCGAUGUCGGAUUAGCUAGUUGGCGGGGUAAAGGCCCACCAAGGCGACGAUCCGUAGCUGGUCUGAGAGGAUGAUCAGCCACACUGGAACUGAGACACGGUCCAGACUCCUACGGGAGGCAGCAGUGGGGAAUAUUGGACAAUGGGCGCAAGCCUGAUCCAGCCAUACCGCGUGGGUGAAGAUGGCCUUCGGGUUGUAAAGCCCUUUUGUUGGGAAAGAAAAGCAGCAGGUUAAUACCCCGCUGUUCUGACGGUACCCAAAGAAUAAGCACCGGCUAACUUCGUA
rnacentral:rRNA from 1 species